rnacentral:lncRNA from 1 species
CAAAGACUCCUUUCCAUUAUGAUUAUCGAUAGCGAUAGUAUGCGAAAGGUUAAAAACAAACAAAACAAACAAAUACAACUAGCCACAACAUUAUCCUAACCAUCAUCACAAAAUUACAACAUUCAAUUUAACUGAAACUGCAACUAAAAAGUUAAAUAAAUAAUAACUAGGAUGAAGAUCAACAAAUCGAUCAAUCAAUCUCAAGUUGUCAGCAUACACACGAACAAUCUCAAGUUGUCAGCAUACACACCGUUCAGCAGGAUUAUAAAUUUCACAUUCGCUUGACUGAUCGGUGACGUUGUAAUUCGGGGGAGAAAGGUCGCAGAAGUAACUAGAAAACCAGAGACUUUUAUCAAUUCUGAAAAAUCCGGUCAGCUUCACCCCCAAUUUGGCCGACCCAUAACAACCAUCACCUGCUGACGAGGAGUUGGAGGAGAUUAUUAAUUCCUUGGCGGCUUCAUCGCUGACGUAGGCCCUCGCCGUCGCGAAGGUGACAUUGAAAGUGGUCUGGGUCAUCGUGGUUAAAGCCAAAAGAGGCAACGGCGUCGUCGCGAGCAUCAGUUUGUCCUUCGUCUUCUCGUCCCCGUAGAAGAGAUCCGCCUGGAGGCUCUCGUAGUACAAGUCGAGUUUGGUGUUGGGGUUUGCGAAGACCAGAUUAAAGUUCCACGUGGCGGUUAAGGAAUGGUAGCGGUUGGCGGCGGAAGGAGGGGUCGGGGCGAGUGGGCACGGGGACACGGCGGCGGAGUAGAUGCGGAACUCGGGGGCCAAGGGGUUGAGCCAGUUUUCGUGCGCCACCUGGAAGUAAAAGAUUAUGCUCAUGCAGCCUACGAAGAGGAUUAAACAGAGGGGCUUAAUUACUGCAGGCCAAUGGUACCAAUGGUCGGAGGAGGGAUUCUCAGGUUUUUCUCCCAUCUGAUUCUGAUGUGAUGAUUUGAUUGCUGCACUUGGAGCUUUUUAUACAAGAAAUUUGAUGCUUGUCUUUUAGGUUUUGACUUCAUAUCAGACGAGGAGAGAGAAGGAAUCCCAUUUAUCGACAACUACUGUACAAUGUGAGUCAAGUCCUACUUCUACUAGGAUUGAUUUUCACGUGUUUCUUUUUCUGUCUUUUUUUUUUUUGUUUUCUUUUUUUACACUUCCUUUUUUAGUUUUUUUUUCUUUUUUUCUAAUUUUAUCUAAUUAACCUAAUGGACUUUUUAAUAGCUAUUUCUCUUCUCUCCUGCCACUUAGUAUUAGGGUCUGGUGAUAUUCCUUUUUACUUAGAAGUGAAAGGUCUUAUGUUCGAAUCUAGUGGAUGGCAAAUUUGAUAUCAAAUUAGGUUGCCCAUUGUGCGGCUUAGCCGAACUCCACAUUCCCUUAGUGUAAAAAUAUCGAUGUACUAAAAAAAAAAAUAUUUCUCUCCUAUUUCUCUCCUUGCCUUCAUUUAAUAGGGUUCUGAUUUUUUUAGUUUAUUCGGUUUUAAAGUUUUAGGUAUUUGAGUCUAUUUCAAUGAGAUUUUGAAUAUAUUUGAAACUUUUUAUAAAAAUUGAUAUUUUUAAAAUUAAAGGUUAACAUUUGGCUACAUUCGAUAAAUACACAUGUUGAGACGAUGGUGCGAUAUCAACGAAAAUACCUAGCUAGAUUCGCAAGAGAAUGACAGAGAGAGCAACCUGACUAAUUAUAUUAACGUUUUAGAAAGAAUAAAUAAACGGGUAUAAAGCGUAUUAAAAUUGGUAUGGCUAGAUUAUUUAAUCCAGUGGCUUAUUUACACAACCGAAUCCGUUUAUUAAUGCUGUCAGGUCUCUUAUCCUAGCUCCCAAACGGCUGAUGUUGGGUUUCUCAUCGCCGCCUCCAGCAGCGAGUACGUAACCGCCACGUGGGACUUGACGUGGUCGCUAUAAACCGCAACCGGAAGCUGGACUUGUGCUACGAGAACCUUCGGGCCGAUAUCUUCUACGGCGACGACAAGGAAAGCGACAGCAAUCUCAAGCAGGGAACGGAGUCGUUGCCUCCCAUCUAUGUAAGUAAGAUGAACCAGACCACUCUUGAUUUCUCAGUGGUAAUG